GAUGAACGCUGGCGGCGUGCCUAAUACAUGCGAGUCGAACGAAACUUCUUUAUCACCGAGUGCUUGCACUCACCGAUACAGAGUUGAGUGGCGAACGGGUGAGUAACACGUGGGCAACCUGCCCAAAAGAGGGGGAUAACACUUGGAAACAGGUGCUAAUACCGCAUAACCAUAGUUACCGCAUGGUAACUAUGUAAAAGGUGGCUAUACUACCGCUUUUGGAUGGGCCCGCGGCGCAUUAGCUAGUUGGUAGGGUAAAGGCUUACCAAGGCAAUGAUGCGUAGCCGAAUUGAGAGGUUGAUCGGCCACAUUGGGACUGAGACACGGCCCAAACUCCUACGGGAGGCAGCAGUAGGGAAUCUUCCACAAUGGGCGAAAGCCUGAUGGAGCAACGCCGCGUGGGUGAAGAAGGUCUUCGGAUCGUAAAACCCUGUUGUUAGAGAAGAAAGUGCGUGAGAGUAACUGUUCACGUUUCGACGGUAUCUAACCAGAAAGCCACGGCUAACUACGUG
rnacentral:rRNA from 1 species